rnacentral:rRNA from 1 species
GAACGGGUGAGUAACAUAUCGGAACGUAUCCAAUAAUGGGGGAUAACUAAUCGAAAGGUUGGCUAAUACCGCAUACGCCCUACGGGGGAAAGCAGGGGAUCGUCAAGACCUUGCGUUGAUGGAGCGGCCGAUAUCUGAUUAGCUAGUUGGUGGGGUAAAGGCCCACCAAGGCGACGAUCAGUAGCUGGUCUGAGAGGACGACCAGCCACACUGGAACUGAGACACGGUCCAGACUCCUACGGGAGGCAGCAGUGGGGAAUUUUGGACAAUGGGCGCAAGCCUGAUCCAGCCAUUCCGCGUGAGUGAAGAAGGCCUUCGGGUUGUAAAGCUCUUUCGCGAGGGAAGAAAACUUACUUUCUAAUAAAGAGUGAGGCUGACGGUACCUUGAUAAGAAGCACCGGCUAACUACGUGCCAGCAGCCGCGGUAAUACGUAGGGUGCGAGCGUUAAUCGGAAUUACUGGGCGUAAAGCGUGCGCAGGCGGUUUUGUAAGUCAGAUGUGAAAUCCCCGGGCUCAACCUGGGAACUGCGUUUGAAACUACAAGGCUAGAGUAUGGCAGAGGGGGGUAGAAUUCCACGUGUAGCAGUGAAAUGCGUAGAGAUGUGGAGGAAUACCAAUGGCGAAGGCAGCCCCCUGGGUCAAUACUGACGCUCAUGCACGAAAGCGUGGGGAGCAAACAGGAUUAGAUACCCUGGUAGUCCACGCCCUAAACGAUGUCUACUAGUUGUUGGGAGAGUAAAAUCUCUUAGUAACGCAGCUAACGCGUGAAG